UGGAUGAGAGAGAGAGGGAGUUAACCCCACCAUGCCCAUGUCUCUCUCGUCUCUCCCGUUCCAACCAAAUCCGGGGCUGGCGGCGGCAAACCCUAGCGCUGCGGCGGCGGCGGCGGCAGACCCUAGCGCCAUGGACUGGCCGGUGCAGGGGACGGCGAUCACGGCCGGUUGAUGACGGCGCCUCAGGUCCAUAAAGUGUUGGCUCCUCUCCAUCGUCAUGACCAGCACCAAAGGUGCGUAUUCCCGUCACCUGUUGCGUUCGGUGUCUCCGUACAUUUCAGCCCCGUUCGAUGCCUCUCCUCCAGCCACACGACGUUCAUUUGCCUCUUUCUCUUCCCUGUGGACGUCACCUCCCCACGUUCUGGAUGUACCAUGAUUCUGGAUCGGGCACAAGUCGCCCCAAUAGGAGAGCAGGUCUGGUGUGGUUUCAUGGUGGGUGUUGAGGAGCAGGGGGCUGGGGAGGGAGUCGGCCAUCACUGCCUACCACUGCUCACGAGUCGUCGUGCCCCAUCCCCAACCUAGACUGCACAUCUACAGCUUCGGCAUCUCCCUCUCCCCUAUUUUUUGCCUUUUGAUUUCCCUGGUUCAUUGAUAAUGCGAUUUUAAUUUUUUGAUUUAUGUGUGCAGAUCGGAUGAAGAAUACAAGAGGAAGACUAAGAACAAGGUGAGCUCUCUCUCCCCCUAAUCUGCCUAGAUUGCAAGUAUACAUGUGCAUACUUAAUUACUAUUUAGCUGUUCUAUUGCGUUCUUAGUUCUUUCUUUUUUCAGCCAUGCAUUUCUUCUGUCUAUAAGAGUACACCAUUCUUCGUUUGAUCACUCUUGGAUGAUUCCUUUUGUUUGAGGAACUCAAAUUUUCAGUAGCAAGCAUGCAGUUUGGCCAAUGAUGCAGGGUGAUCUGGUUGUUCUGUUGGAGCUGAAAGUUUGGACGGGUACUGAAUAGUGUGAAUUACAUCUGUAAAUAACAACAUGAGGAUCAGGGAUGCAAGCGGCUGGAUUCCAAAACUGCCCCCCCCCCCCCCCCCCCCCCCCCCCCUAUGUUUUGCUCGAUAAAUCAAGUUUUUUUUUUGCAAUGUUCAAUGGCCUGAAUGUACGAAAUGAGACAAUUCACACCCUUGAUUUCAUAGCAGGUCUCAUGGUUCAGUAGCAAGUAUCAUUAAUCUAACUACCUCCUCCAAAAUGUCAUUUUUCAAUUGAUUUUAGUUCCCUUUUGUAUUCAGUUUUUAAAUUGGUUUCAACUGUCUUUUGGCACUCAAAUGUGAUUAAGUGCAGUAACAUGUAGCAUUUAGUUUAUUUGGUUGACAGUUUAUAACCUCAGCAAGGAGCACGUGACAUUGACGCCAUCACUGAGCUCAAGAUGGUGCCUUGCAAUGAUCAUUGCACUUCUCUUCCAUACAUCAGUGCCACUUCCAAAGCGGAGUGCCUCCUAGAGGAUAGUCUCUAUUAUCAGAAGGGUGAAGCAGCACAGAAGACAAAGAAGGCAUAUUGUGCGAGAGUGGCGAUGGCAUGGACGAGCUUGCCUGCUCCCAGUUCGGGUACCAAUGGGACAGCGACACGUUCUAGCUUGCACUGAAUGUGAUCGUAUAGAGACACGAUGGAUAUGCCCAAUCCUACAGUGGCGUAUGGAGCCGGCUUCGUGUGAGAUGACAGUGGGUUAGCGGUCCAUCAUGCACGUGUUCCGUUGGUACAAAUCUCUUCUCGCGGUACACAACGACUACCAUCAGUUGCGGCCCGGCGCGCAAACGUCGUCUUCCUAAUAAACAGAUAAGGGUGCACAACAUUGUGGAUCCAACCUUGCCGGCGACGCUGAGAAAAAAAGGCAAAUCUAUCCAUUCGGGCACCGCACGAGGCGAGAAGCUAGGAGCUAUGGUGAUGGCGGCGGCGGGAGGCGGGAGGCGGGAGGCGACGGAUUCGAGUUCCUAGCAGAUCCGGUUCACAGGGCAGUACAAAGUAGAGGAGGUCUGUAAAGGGAAAAUCUAUUUCGUGCGAUGAUACCAUCCAGAGAAACAUGAAAAGUGGUGCGGGAUGUGUACAAAGUGGAAGUUGUUGAGGAAGGGAGGGAACUGAUAUGUGAGUGUGCUAAUUUCGAGCACACAUUCUUGCUCUGCUGCCAUGCAGUUAAGGUCCUUGAUUUCGUCGGCAUAUACCAGAUACCAGCAAAACAUAUUCUGAAACGUUGGACAAAGGAUGCAAGAGAUGUAUUGUCAACCCACUUAUCACACCUUCAGAAGGAUAGCAUUUCAGUGAAUUCAAUAACCUUUAGGCACUCAAAUCUUCACACACAUGCACUCGAAGUGGUGAGGCUGGAGAUGCAAAUACAGAGGCCUAUGACUAUGAGUGUGCAAUGGACAUCUUGAAGAUAGCAAUGGAUAAACUGACACCAAUAGCCGCCAUGCGAGAUGGAAUGUGAUUGCAUUGGAAGACAAAAUUCAGCCAAACAAGAGAUGUCUACACCUGAUUCAGGCGGGGGCUCUGUUAGCCAUGUGUCUUCCAGCUCUAGCUCGAGUGCCCUUGCAGUCAGCGAUGAGCAUGACCGGCAUCUUCAGUUCUUGCCAUCUGAUGAUCAUGUCGCUGGCGGCAGUGCUCCAGGGCAUGCGGCUUUCGUGCAGGUCGGUGAUUGAGGAUACCGUGUACGGGAGGGCUGAUGGUGUAUCGAUGGAAGAUGAAGGUUGCGAAGAUGAGUCACAAGUCCAGUCCCGUUCUUCAACCGUGGAAGAGGUGGGUACCUAUGAUCCAGAAAAUCAGAGCUACGCCGGCGGUGAUAACCAGGGGCGAACCCACGUUAUGGUGAGUGGGGGCCUAGGCACCCACUGAAAAUAUGAAAUUUCGGUCCGCCACUGGUGAUAACUGGUCCGAGACAGGAAGCUACUCCGAGUUAAGGACCAAGGUUGCUGAUGGAUCCAUCAGCGGCGUCGAUGGUGAGAGACGCGCAGCAAAGCGAGCAAGAGUUGAGGACUGAUGUGUUCCGAAGAUGCUUAAAGCUGUUACCCUUAGUAACCGCUGAACUCAGCGGUGAAAUCCUAGACUAAAAAAGGUGUUUGUGUUAAGAUUAGUGGCGUACAAGUUUGCGCCAGUGUGCUGCGGCGGGUUCAAUGUCGAUCUAGGAGUCCUGGUAGGUUUGUGUGGAAAAAAUAAAAGGAGGUUAGGUUUUGGUUUGUCGAAAUCCACGUAUGUUGAUUAGAUUAUGUUUUCAUGUGUGGUGUCUGCCCCCAAUGACUCGUCAACUCAUGCUCGUUUGCAACUUUGGUACAUCGAACAUAUAAAUCGUCGUAGACUACCCGCCGUUCUGAGGGCGUUGCGCGCGCCAGACAUUUUUGACCGCCCGAUAAAGUUACAACAGUGAAAUUUUGUCUGGUGGCGGCUGGUCAACCGUCCGCUAAUUUUCACAUUCACUGCCGCUUCAAUGGAGUAUGAAGGGUGGGGUCGUGAGCCUGUAGGGUCAGCAAACUAAGGGUGGGUUUAUUUGAGGGCUACGUGAAUGAAUGGAUGAGGGUGGGCUGUUCCCGAUUGGCAAGGGCGAGAGAGCGGCUUGAAGAGCCACGACCAAUCCUUUCCCGAAAACGUAGCGCAAAAGGGACCAAUCAUAUAAGCAGAGUAUUCCAGAUUGAGUAAUGCUAGAGAUAUAGACACAUUCUAUAUACAUUUUGAUGUUUUAGCUUCCAUAGUGAGAGCAAGUUACAAGACCAGAUGCGAUCUUAUAUUUCAGAGUUUUGUAAAUUUCUUAGUCGGUGGAUCUGACUAAUGCAUAUAUAUUUGUGAGAGGUAUUAUUCAUAUGUCAAUUUUGUAAUUUGAGUAGGCUGAAACUAAUGGUUUCAGAUGGUCUGCGUAUUAACUUUGAUCAGAACCUGUAUCUAAAGAAACUGAGUAGAGGGUCGCCUUUUAUGAUGGAAUUUGCAGCAGGUGUGAUCCCUUGCUCGUGCUCUCUGCUUGUCCUCAUGCUAGACCUACCCUUUGCUUGUCGCCCUACAUUUUAUUCAGAGCGGUGUCAGGACUCAUCUCCGGCGCCUACAUGGCGGGCAGAGGGCCUAAGCUCUAGAUGAGCUCCUCUUCACCCUGCAAGUGUUGUGUUACUCUGCUAUUUUUAUUAUCUCAACAUUUCUAAUUUUAUGAGUCCGAGAUUACUUGAAUGAUUCGUGGGAAUUGGAAUGUGGGGAUAAGAAUUUUUCUAAAGAAAAACCCAGUAUCAACAUGUUAUAUCGAGGGCCUUGAAAGCUAAUGGUGUCGCAAGAUGUCUUUUUUUCACCUUUUCAUUUUUGUUGGGAGAAAGGCGAUGCUCUUUCUUGGUCAAAAGGAUGGUAAUCUCUCACAGAUACUUUGUUAUGUCUUAUACAAUAAUAUGCUGACAAAUCACAUGCUGAAUAACCUUUAUCCUCAUCUGUAGUACUUUAGGACACACUUUUCUAAGAACAGCCUCUUCCCACACAUGGAUGCUGAUCAUGGUGAGCUGCCAAUAAGCACUGGAGACGGAACUACCAGUGUCACGUCCCGUUUUAUAAAGGGUGUUGACAACAGGGCUACUAUCACUAAAAACUGGAGCAGCUUUUUCGUAAGGCAAAGAUGAAGAAAGGCCAUGCCUAUGCCUUCGCCUUCAAGUGCACAUCAAAGGGGUUGCACAUGAUUGUCUAUCCUAUCCUAUAUAAGCAGAUCGCAAAAGCCCUUUGCUUUAUAACUCAAUAUUAGUAUAAGUACCUACCAAGACUUCUAUAUUUAGCAUCCUUUUGGAUCGUAUGUAAGCCACCUAAGAUCAUCCUGUAUCGUAUGACUAUUGGUUGUUUGCUGGUAAGACCAUCAUGAAGUGUGCUUUUGGGGCAGCAGUGCAGAAAGAAAUAUCUUCCUGUAUCUGUUGGAUGUUUUUCCCUCUGUUACAGAUCAGCACUAGGUUCUCUUAAAACACUAUUUAUCAGCACUAAGUUUCUAUUUGCUUAUGAUCUAAUCAGUGUUCAAUUUUUUAUGUCUUUAGACUGAUCCUACUACAACUUGCUUUGUCAAACCAAUGUAUGCUAUUAUCAGUAAUGUCAUUACUUCCUUUUCAUCUGUCAUGAUACCAUAUAAUGAGAUAAAAGUAUAUCUCUUAAACUAGCACAUACACAUGGUUUGAAGACUCGUCUGACCGAUGCUUUUUGCGCCAUUGGCGCAAUGAGUCAUGCCAGCUUUUGAGUAUAUUCAUCGCCCACGCAAAGCAAGCUCAAUCCGAAAGUUCAAAGGCAAGAAAAUCCAUCUAAAGUCUGGAAAGUACAUUCUCCAUGGUGAGCCUUGCAUCCACUACUUAGAUGAGUUUAGUCACCACAUUGUGUGGGGCAACACAGUUACGCUCUACAACCAUAAUGUUCGUAGACUGCGAAAGAUCAUCUGCAGCACCACCACGCCUGAUCGCUACUAUGUGUGCCACAUGACAGAGACAUUUGCAACACACGGCAAAAGAAUGGUAAUCCUUUGUAGUUGCUCUGUCCUAUUCAUACAAUAACUAACCUUUACUGUUAUUUUCAGUACUUUAGCAUUCCCUUUUCUACUGGUUCCCUUUUCCCACACAUGUAUGUUGACCAUGGUGAACUGCCAAUCACUACUGGAGAUAGAACUACCGCUGUCACAACACGCUUUAUGAAGGGUGUUGACAAAAGGGCCACCAUCACUAAAGGCUGGAGCGACUUCUUCCGUCAGGCACAGAUGAAAAAAGGGCAAGCAUAUGCUUUCGGCUUCAAAUGCACUUCCAAGGGACUGCGCCUGAUCGUCUACUCAAUAUAAGCAAGUUGCAAGAGCUCCUUGUUAUAUAACUUAAUAUUAGUAUAAAUGCCUACCAAGACUUCUAUGUUUAUCAUACUUUUGGAUCUUAUGUAAUCCCCUAAGACCAUCUUGUGCAUUUAACUAUCGGUAAUUUGCUGCUUAGACUGAUGUGUAGUAUUCUUUUGAGACAGCCAUGAUAAAAGAGAUAUAUGCUCACUCUUUCACUACUUGGCUUACACUCGGCCUUUGCGCCAUUGGCGCAACGGGUCAUCUAGUUGUGUUAAUGUGUUCUCUUAUUGCUAGUUCACUACAGAUGCUUAGUUGUUAUUCAUAUAUCACAGAACAUGCUUUCCUCGUUCUCACCGUGUAAUUUAAGUAGUUUAUGCUGAGCAAUUGUAUGUAAAGGCUUAAUUGUAUCGUGAUAUUAUAUUACCCUGAUAAAUAAGAGUUUGAUUAUCACAAACAAAACUUUGAUGCCUUAGGAAAUAGAGAAGAUUAGUUCAGGGAAAAAAUAGUCUGUACAAACUGACUCUAAUGUAAUCAAUACAACAAUAUGUAAUGAAGCUGGUAAGAGCUGCAAUUACAAGCUAUCAAAAUGAUCUAUAGAAGCAACAACUUAUGCGGAUAUAUCCCUGCAAAAAACAAAAACAAAACUUAUACGGAUAUAUGUUUGAUCAGGACCUAUGAUACUAUAUCUUCUUCCAUAUUGCUCUACUGUUGUUGUACAUUUAUAAUUGCAUCCUUCAUAUCAACAGUAUGCUACGAUAAUUGUAUCCUCAUACCAACAGUAGCUACGAUAUCAACAGUAUGUAUAAUUGUAUCCUUCAUACCAACAGUAUGCUACGAUAAUAACACCGCCUAGUCUCUUUGUCAUCUUAGUUGUCUACAAUAAUCUUUUGAGAUUAUAUGAUCCCUGUAUUGCAGUUGUAGCAUUUAUUACAAAUGGGGAAGUAGUUCAUGGGUCUGGUCUUAAAAGUGAUGAUGACGACAAGAGUUGUCUCUUGAAUGUGAUUAUCCAGUCAUUAUGGCAUUUAAGGGGAUUCCGAGAUGAUCUGCUCAAAACAUCGUCACACCAUAAACAUGUUGGAGAUCCUGGUGCUGUUUCUUGUGUUGUAUGUGUGUUAUGUCAUAUUUUUACCGAGUUGAGCAAAGUAUCUAAGGGGGAAGGAGAGGCUGUUGCACCUACUUCUUUGAGGAUGGCUUUGAGCAUCUCAUUCCCCGCUGAGAAGUUAAUUCGGAUGGGACAAAUGAAUGAUGCAUCUGAGGUAUUGGAGGCAAUCUUAAGACGCAUGCAUGAUUCAUUCACAUAUCGUGCUGACUACCUUGCUGAAUCUCACGAGCGCAAUUGUAGUGGCUCAUGGGACUGUGCAAACGAUGAAUGCAUCGCACACGAUAUGUUCGGUGCAGACGUCCAUGAAAGGAUGAUCUGCUACAAUUGCGGGUUGGAGUCUAGACAACAAAAAUAUACAUCAUUUCUCCAUUAUAUCAAUGCUUGUUCACUUAAUUAUGCAAUGAGGAUCUGUCCAGGCAAUUCAUUUGAUGAUAUUUUGAAGGCUGUGAUGAUGGAUGUCCACAGAACUUGUGAUCCUGAUCUUUGGGAUGGCAGACUGGAAAUGGGAGUGUGAGGGACAUGCUACCUCAUAUUUUGGCUGCCCUUGGGACUGAGAUAGACAUCAGCGUUAUCUACCGCGGUACAAGUCGACCGAGCAAACAUUCCCUGGUGUCAAUGGCUUGCUUCUACGGCCAGCGCUAUAUCUGAGGUUGUUGGUGAUUGGAUUCAAGUGCUCAGUAUGUGCGAGGAAAAGGAAAUGCAACCCCUGCUUCUUUUCUUCGAAGCUGCAAAUUGAUUUACUGUUCUUCUGCCGAAAAGUUUUGGCUUAAGGAAGUAUGUUGAUUUGCCAUGAAGCGUUGGAAUGCUCUUUUUAGUUUUGACAUAUUAGUCUAGUUAAAUUGUUAACUGUGUCUCUUUUAUGGUUUAUGGUUUAUGAUUGGUCCACCGCAUCUCGUCUAAUCGCCUAUAUAGAACUUGGUGCAAAGUGUACAAGAUAUGAAAUAUAAACAAGUUUUGCACUAGUGUGUGA